rnacentral:rRNA from 1 species
GUAGGUGGCAAGCGUUGUCCGGAAUUAUUGGGCGUAAAGCGCGCGCAGGUGGUUCUUUAAGUCUGAUGUGAAAGCCCCCGGGCUCAGCCGGGGAGGGUCAUUGGAAACUGGGGAACUUGAGUGCAGGAGAGGAAAGUGGGAUUCCACGUGUAGCGGUGAAAUGCGUUGAUAUGUGGAGGAACACCAGUGGCGAAGGCGACUUUCUGGCCUGUAACUGACACUGAGGCGCGAAAGCGUGGGGAGCAAACAGGAUUAGAUACCCUGGUAGUCCACGCCGUAAACGAUGAGUGCUAAGUGUUGGGGGGUUUCCGCCCCUCAGUGCUGCAGCUAACGCAUUAAGCACUCCGCCUGGGGAGUACGGCCGCAAAGACUG